UACGAAGGGGGCUAGCGUUGUUCGGAAUUACUGGGCGUAAAGCGCACGUAGGCGGGUCUUUAAGUCAGGGGUGAAGUCCUGGAGCUCAACUCCAGAACUGCCUUUGAUACUGAAGAUCUUGAGUUCGGGAGAGGUGAGUGGAACUGCGAGUGUAGAGGUGAAAUUCGUAGAUAUUCGCAAGAACACCAGUGGCGAAGGCGGCUCACUGGCCCGAUACUGACGCUGAGGCACGAAAGCGUGGGGAGCAAACAGG
rnacentral:rRNA from 1 species